rnacentral:lncRNA from 1 species
UUAAGCUUUACGCAAAGAACCUUGUCCUUUGCGGCUGUUGCAGCCGCAAGCCUCAAAGACAGAAACGACUUGCACCUUUGCCACCACUAUGUGCUGCCACGCUGGAACCACCACAGCGACCACGGACAGCCCUGAAGUAGCCCACUCAAGUGUGAGGGAGGCUGCACUGCUUAUCAAUUACGUGCCCACUGACAGGGAGGUAUCAUAAAACUCUAGUAUGCUUUGUUUUGAAGAUAUAUUGCUUUGCUUUAAUGAGAAAAUGUGCAUUGACAAACUAAUGCGUGCACAUCAUCUUUGACUUGUUUUAUAGGUGCAUCGGAGCAAAGGAAUUGCCGUUCCCAAGAGGUUGUACAAUCACCCCAUGAGCUUGAAAAGAUGGACCCGUUUUGUUCGUGAGGCGGCCGUUACCAUUUUUUAUACAGCAGGCCAAGUCGGUAGAAGUGUUACGGGCGCAGCCUCCAAUCGGUCUAAAGGGGAGGCGAAAUCUCCCUAGGAGAAAGUAACAUAUGCUGUGUUUUCAGAUUUCUUCAACCAUUUUUUUGAAGCACACCGUUCUGAUUGGAGAGGUUGAGCAAAUGAAGAAGCUCCUCAAUAAAGCUUUGGCAAACAAAAUUAAUGACUUUAUGAAAUCAAAAGAUUAACCAAGGAAUGGCACAUCAAAUAAAAUAUUUUGUAUGA